rnacentral:rRNA from 1 species
GGCGCACGGGUGCGUAACGCGUAUACAAUCUACCUUAUAGAGGGGGAUAGCCCAGAGAAAUUUGGAUUAAUACCCCAUAGUAUUAUGGAGCAGCAUUGCUUUAUGAUUAAACAUUUAUGGCUAUAAGAUGAGUAUGCGUCCUAUUAGUUAGUUGGUAAGGUAACGGCUUACCAAGACCGCGAUAGGUAGGGGUCCUGAGAGGGAGAUCCCCCACACUGGUACUGAGACACGGACCAGACUCCUACGGGAGGCAGCAGUGAGGAAUAUUGGACAAUGGGCGAGAGCCUGAUCCAGCCAUGCCGCGUGCAGGAAGACGGCCCUAUGGGUUGUAAACUGCUUUUAUACGGGAAGAAACACUCCUUCGUGAAGGAGCUUGACGGUACCGUAAGAAUAAGGAUCGGCUAACUCCGUGCCAGCAGCCGCGGUAAUACGGAGGAUCCAAGCGUUAUCCGGAAUCAUUGGGUUUAAAGGGUCCGUAGGCGGGACAAUAAGUCAGCGGUGAAAGUCUGUGGCUCAACCAUAGAAUUGCCAUUGAUACUGUUGUUCUUGAGUGUUUAUGAAGUGGUUGGAAUAUGUAGUGUAGCGGUGAAAUGCAUAGAUAUUACAUAGAACACCGAUUGCGAAGGCAGAUCACUAAUAAAAUACUGACGCUGAUGGACGAAAGCGUAGGUAGCGAACAGGAUUAGAUACCCUGGUAGUCUACGCCGUAAACGAUGGUUACUAGCUGUUCGGAAGUAAUUCUGAGUGGCUAAGCGAAAGUGAUAAGUAACCCACCUGGGGAGUACGUUCGCAAGAAUGAAACUCAAAGGAAUUGACGG